rnacentral:rRNA from 1 species
UACGGAGGGUGCGAGCGUUGUCCGGAAUCAUUGGGCGUAAAGGGCGCGUAGGUGGCGCGGCAAGCGUGCGGUGAAAGCUCGGGGCUCAACCCCGAGUCGGCCGUGCGAACUGCCGCGCUCGAGCACUGUAGAGGCAGGCGGAAUUCCGGGUGUAGCGGUGGAAUGCGUAGAGAUCCGGAAGAACACCGGUGGCGAAGGCGGCCUGCUGGGCAGUGGCUGGACACUGAGGCGCGACAGCGUGGGGAGCAAACAGG